GGGCCCUGUGUGCUAGGAAAUAAACAGCUUUCUGUGGGCUGCUGGCUUUUGCUUUCUCGCUUUCACUGUGUUUGCUGAGCCCGAGCCCAAGCCCAUCCUCUCAGUGAACAGGCUCCAAGCGGACACUCGUCGGGAAAGAAGUCGCAUUCCUGGGGGACCCAAGCACUUGGCCCAUCUUCAACUGCUUUCCCAGGCCGUAGGCAGAGAGCUGGCUCAGAAGAGGAGCAGCCAGGACAGGAACCAGCACCCAUAUGGGAUGCCGGUGCCACACGUGAGGCUUUGCUUACUACACCACGGUGAGAGGCACACAUUUCAAGCACAGAAAUACCUGCAGAUCAGCCUGGAUGAUGUGAUGGCAUGUCAUCAAUUUCCUGCUGGGACCACACUGAGGAACCAGUCCAUCUCCACCAGCUCCAGUGCCUCAUCUGAUUUGCAGAACACUCUAACGUGGAGAAGAGGGUUAUAGGUUUUGGCAUUCUUGGGAAAUACUCAGCCUCCUAGGAUAGAGCAUCCUCCUCCAGAAACUGCAUUACGCUGUUUAACAUUCCAGCUGCAAUGUUGCAGAAACCAUAUAUCCUGUAAACCCCAGUCAGCCAGGUGUCCUCCCAACUAUUCCUAAUAAAGAAGUCUUGCCAACAUAAUAAUAGAGUUUCAUGUUGCGGCAACACUGCUUGUUUUAUUCAAUGGCUCCAAGCCUGCAGAGAAAUGGGCUUUCUCAAGCUUAAUUAGGCCAACAUUUGGCAAGAAGCACCUCAAUAUGUAGAAACCUCUUCCCCAGCAAUGGGCAAUGAAAUCGUCUCUCCAUGUACAUUCUGGAACACUCCACCAGAAUAAAGUUCCAGCGAGGCUUAUUAUCCAUAAGCUUCCAUUUAUCACUACAGAUCGCAAAAUUCACCUUGAGCCUCUGAAGAGAAGAGAGACAGAUUCCUUGCAUUUCAGAAUGAAAAAUGUAUACUUGGGCUUUGGUGAGUGAGGCAGCAAUAUUAUUACUAACAGAUUCAUCACAGGGUUGGCAAGAACUGUAACCCACUACACAGCUCUCAGGCUCACCUGGCACAUCUUCCAGAUACCCUUCCUUGCCUUUCAUAUUUGUUGAAUAAAUUGAAAAUAAUAAAACUUUGUGCCACUGAGUUGGGGUUCUUCAGAGAAACAACGCAACAGGAUGUGUGUGGAUGUGUGUCUCUGUGUGUGUAUGUGUGUGUG